CAACCCUCGAACCCCUCCGGGGGGUCGGCGUUGGGGAUCGGGAACCCCUAAGACGGGAUCCCGGCCCCGAAAUACAGUGGCGGUCUCGCCGCAGCCUCUCCUGCGCAGUAGUUUGCACAACUCGCACCGGGAGCGCGGCGCGUCCACGUCCGUAAAACACCCAAUUUUAAUAG
rnacentral:misc_RNA from 1 species